CGUUAUUUUAAGACCACGGGAAAAUAUUUUUCAGUACGGACCUCCUAUAGCUGGUAAACUAGAAGUUACUAUCGCAAGGAAAGUGCUGCCUCACCCUCAAGGGAUCAAAGGCAGCAUGCGCAAUUUGCAGAAUAAGGGGCUGUUUUUAUGAUCUAGCCUCCUCCGCAGGCAACUCUUUGGCAAAAAUAUUAUGAAUAACAGCGAAUUUAAAGUUAGGGAUUGUUAGGGAUCACAGAGCGUAACCCUAUAAUAUUCACAUUUUUGCCAAUUUUUUAUUCAUAAUAAUAUUUUUGCCAAUUCUUGCCAAAGAGUUGCCUGCGGAGGAGGCUAUAUAUGAUCCUGCUUUGCCAGGACGAGAUGCCAGGCAGGAUUAUUUUGAUGUAUUACUUCUAAAAUAAAUUACUGUGCACGAUUCAGCAAGGUUGUUCAAGCAGUAUAAUAAUCUUCUUGAACUACAACAUUUGAAUUCUGUUGACUUAUUUCAAUACAUUAAAAUCACCCGGAUUCCAAUAUUUACAGUAAACAGCCCCUAAGACACAUGUUCAUGAGGUAGGAAAAGUACAAUUUGAAUAUCAAACACCUUGCACAAAGUCAAAGGUCAGCUAAAUGUUCUAUUUCUACUUUCUUGGCAUUGGGCAGUUUUAUAUGAACACCUUCAAUGUUUAUAAUUUCUUACUUUUGUAUGUAUAAUUACAAUAUAUGCAGGUUUAUUAGGAUAGCAUGACCAUUUGACAUGGCUAGC